CGGGGAGUAGCGCAGCCUGGUUUAGCGCGCCUGCCUUGGGAGCAGGAGGUCGGCAGUUCAAAUCUGCUCUCCCCGACCA
rnacentral:tRNA from 1 species